GAUUAUGGCUCAGGAUGAACGCUAGCGACAGGCUAACACAUGCAAGUCGAGGGGCAGCAUAAAAGUAGCAAUACUUGGUGGCGACCGGCGCACGGGUGAGUAACGCGUAUGCAACCUACCUAUCAGAGGGGAAUAACCCGGCGAAAGUCGGACUAAUACCGCAUAAAACAGGGGCACCGCAUGGUGAUAUUUGUUAAAGAAAUUCGCUGAUAGAUGGGCAUGCGUUCCAUUAGGUAGUUGGUGAGGUAACGGCUCACCAAGCCGACGAUGGAUAGGGGAACUGAGAGGUUGGUCCCCCACACUGGUACUGAGACACGGACCAGACCCCUACGGGAGGCAGCAGUGAGGAAUAUUGGUCAAUGGGCGGGAGCCUGAACCAGCCAAGUCGCGUGAAGGAAAAGAAGGAUCUAUGGUUCGUAAACUUCUUUUGCAGGGGAAUAAAGUGCAGGACGUGUCCUGUUUUGUAUGUACCCUGAGAAUAAGGAUCGGCUAACUCCGUGCCAGCAGCUGC
rnacentral:rRNA from 1 species